rnacentral:rRNA from 1 species
UACGUAGGGUGCGAGCGUUGUCCGGAAUUAUUGGGCGUAAAGAGCUCGUAGGCGGUCUGUCGCGUCGGUCGUGAAAACUUGGGGCUUAACCCUGAGCUUGCGGUCGAUACGGGCAUGACUGGAGUUCGGCAGGGGAGACUGGAAUUCCUGGUGUAGCGGUGAAAUGCGCAGAUAUCAGGAGGAACACCGGUGGCGAAGGCGGCAUCCUGGACCAACACUGACACUGAUGAGCGAAGCCAGGGGAGCAAACGGGAUUAGAAACCCGUUGA